ensembl:lncRNA LINC00331 long intergenic non-protein coding RNA 331
ACCAUGUGUGGACACAGCAAGAAGGCAGCAUCUAUAAGCUAGGAAGGAGGCCCUCACCAGACUUGGAAUCUGCUGGCUUCCUGAUCUUGGCCUUUCUAGCCUCCAGAACUGAACAUGGAUGAAGCUGGAGGCCAUUAUCCUUAGCAAACUAACACAAGAACAGAAAACCAAAUACCGCAUGUUCUUCCUUAUAAGUGGGAGCUACAUGAUGAGAUGAGAACAUGAGAGCCUGGGCAGGUUUUCUAUUCUCCUGAGUGGAACCAUCAGACUUUUCUUGAGGGAUUGGCCCUCUAGUGAAGAGCAUGGAGUGGACUGGGCCAGGGAAAGAUCCUCAGAUAAUCCUUACAUUAUUAUAAACUCCUUCAGGUAAGCAGCUCUGCUUACUCAUCUCGUACUCCUGCCUAGUAAGAGCCCAGAAAACCUUCAGCUCUCAAUACAUUCUGAAUAAAAUUUCCAACGGAAAGAGUAAAGAAGAUUCCAUCUUGAAACUAGAAUGAGGUGAAGCCAGAAAGGAAGAGUCAUAAUCAAAGAAGAGAGUGAUCAAGAAUCCAAAAUAGACAGAGAGAGCAGGCUCUUAGAGAAAUGGGAGAACUACCGCACUGACUCUGCACGUAGGAGACAGGCAGGAGAGGAGCGCCCCAGCCAGAGCUCAACAUGCGCAAACAGGAAGUGUGUCCGAGGUUUUCUGGAGCUCACAGGAGCCGGGGACCCACAGCCAGACGUUUAUCUGAAAGAAAAGCAGACAAGACAAACUAAAUCAGCAACCAUCCCUUUGGAUGCCAGCUGACCUCGGAUGGAGAUUUAGUGCUAGAUGUAAAAGGCUUUGUUUACAGACAAUUAAAAACCACAUAAAUUUAAAUUGUCAAAGAAGAAAUGGUUUCCAAAGCUUCUAACAGCCUGGUAGCCCCUCCUCAGCCCUGUGCAGGAAAGGCCCAGAGGCAAAUACAAAGCCACCAACCCAAAUGCCUGUGGAGUUUGCCAGAAAGCCAGAUCCUGCUGCUUCUGCUGCUUGUUACUGAUGUUGAAAAAUAAAAUCUUAUACAGCUUCAAA